AGUCGAACGAAGUAGCAAUACUUAGUGGCAGACGGGUGAGUAACAUGUAGGUAUCUGCCCUUUGGCCUGGAAUAACACGAGGAAACUUGUGCUAAUACCGGAUAAGUCUUUACGGAGAAAGCUUUAUGCACCAUUGGAUGAGCCUGCACUUGAUUAGUUUGUUGGUGGGGUAAUGGCCUACCAAGACUGUGAUCAAUAGCUGAUUUGAGAGGAUGAUCAGCCACAUUGGGACUGAGACACGGCCCAAACUCCUACGGGAGGCAGCAGUGGGGAAUCUUGCACAAUGGAGGAAACUCUGAUGCAGCGAUGCCGCGUGAGUGAAGAAGGCCUUUGGGUUGUAAAGCUCUUUCGUCGGGGAAGAAAAUGACUGUACCCGAAUAAGAAGGUCCGGCUAACUUCGUGCCAGCAGCCGCGGUAAUACGAAGGGACCUAGCGUAGUUCGGAAUUACUGGGCUUAAAGAGUUCGUAGGUGGUUGAAAAAGUUGGUGGUGAAAUCCCAGAGCUUAACUCUGGAACUGCCAUCAAAACUUUUCAGCUAGAGUAUGAUAGAGGAAAGCAGAAUUUCUAGUGUAGAGGUGAAAUUCGUAGAUAUUAGAAAGAAUACCAAUUGCGAAGGCAGCUUUCUGGAUCAUUACUGACACUGAGGAACGAAAGCAUGGGUAGCGAAGAGGAUUAGAUACCCUCGUAGUCCAUGCCGUAAACGAUGUGUGUUAGACGUUGGAAAUUUAUUUUCAGUGUCGCAGCGAAAGCGAUAAACACACCGCCUGGGGAGUACGACCGCAAGGUUAAAACUCAAAUGAAUUGACGGGGACCCGCACAAGUAGUGGAGCAUGUGGUUUAAUUCGAAGAUACGCGCAGAACCUUACCAACACUUGACAUGUUCGUCGCGACUCUAAGAGAUUAGAGUUUUCGGUUCGGCCGGACGAAACACAGGUGCUGCAUGGCUGUCGUCAGCUCGUGUCGUGAGAUGUUGGGUUAAGUCCCGCAACGAGCGCAACCCUCACUUUUAGUUGCCAUCAUUAAGUUGGGCACUCUGAAAGAACUGCCAGUGAUAAGCUGGAGGAAGGUGGGGAUGACGUCAAGUCCUCAUGGCCCUUACGUGUUGGGCUACACACGUGCUACAAUGGUAUCUACAACAGGAAGCAAAACUGCGAAGUUAAGCAAAUCCCGAAAAGAUACCUCAGUUCGGAUUGCACUCUGCAACUCGAGUGCAUGAAGCUGGAAUUACUAGUAAUCGUGGAUCAGCGUGCCACGGUGAAUGCGUUCCCGGGUCUUGUACACACCGCCCGUCACACCAUGGGAGUUGGUUCUACCUUAAGGCAAGGUUUUAAACCCU
rnacentral:rRNA from 1 species